GAUGAACGCUGGCGGCGUGCCUAAUACAUGCAAGUAGAACGCUGAAGGAGGAGCUUGCUCUUCUGGAUGAGUUGCGAACGAGUGAGUAACGCGUAGGUAACCUGCCUGGUAGCGGGGGAUAACUAUUGGAAACGAUAGCUAAUACCGCAUGACAACAGUUAUUGCAUGAUAACUGUUUAAAAGGGGCAACUGCUCCACUACCAGAUGGACCUGCGUUGUAUUAGCUAGUUGGUGAGGUAACGGCUCACCAAGGCGACGAUACAUAGCCGACCUGAGAGGGUGAUCGGCCACACUGGGACUGAGACACGGCCCAGACUCCUACGGGAGGCAGCAGUAGGGAAUCUUCGGCAAUAGACGGAAGUCUGACCGAGCAACGCCGCGGGAGUGAAGAAGGUUUUCGGAUCGUAAAGCUCUGUUGUAAGAGAAGAACGAGUGUGAGAGUGGAAAGUUCACACUGUGACGGUAUCUUACCAGAAAGGGACGGCUAACUACGUG
rnacentral:rRNA from 1 species